AUAUGGCAUUUACACCAUUUUAACAAAUCACUCUAACUGCAUCAGGUUAUCAAAUAUGUGCCACUGAUAAAACAUAGAAUUGCUAAUGCCUUAGUGCAUAGGACAGUAACAGGGGUGUCCCAACCACUCAUUUUGAAGACACUUUCUUCGUACAAUAUAGCAAAAUCACUCUAUACAUUGGAAUCGACCAUUUAUUUUCCUGCUCACACAUUUAUUUCAGCAUCUUCCCUGAGAAAAGCUAUCUUAUGCUAUUGCGUAACAUUUUGACAAUUAAUGAAUAUAACAUUUUCAUGCUGCAAAUAGAGAACACUAAACUGAAACAAGGUAAAUGCAAUUUAUUGAUCAAAGCCAUAACAAAAGCAAAACAUUACAAAAUUGACUCCUGAACACAAAGCACAAAAUUUUUUUUUUGUUUGGGAUUUUGAUUACCUUGUAUGAUGACUAUAAUGGAAAAAAAAAAAAAAAAAAAACUCAGUCUCACUUCUGUGCUGUAAUUUUAGAUCUUUAGUAGCAAAAACUUCAAAAACAGAAAGAAGCAAAUCACAGCCACUAAUUAUUGUUUUCUACAAAAACAUGUUCCAUUUUGUUUAGCACACAAAAGAAAAUGAUAAACAGUGAGGUACAAUCUGCAGUAUUCAUGCAAUGUUCUGCACAAGUGUCAGGUUUAAUAAUGGCUGCCACUUGUUGCAUAACUGAGAAAACAUGCAGCACUACAGAAAGAAUUCAGGUGCUCUUUAUUAUUUUUUUUUUCAAAGCAAUGUUGCAACUAGCAGUUAAUUACAGUGGCUUACUGGAAAGGCCAUUCGGCAGCUGAACAUCUCAGGAUCCGUAGAGAAUAUUAGAUCAAAAUUCAAGGACAAUUGAAGGAUUUCAAGCAUGUCAAAAGUCAAAAUACAAGGGGGUGGGGGGAACAAACUUUAUUCAUACCCACACGCUCAAAAAUGGCAAAAUCUCCUUCUGGCUGCAAUUUCUUGCAGCUAAGCUGAUGCUGAGUUAGACAAGCUUCAUGCUCCUCAAGUCACUUUUCCAAGUUGACCUGCCCCUUGUAAUGAUGUCAAUCACCUUCUGGCAUGAUGGCUAGUAGUGUCCUGACUUCAGCCAAAGAUACUUAUCAUAUUAGUGCCAAAUGGCUGAGACUUACUUUUCACCAGGCAUUUCUAGAGUCUACACCCUGAAAAUGGAACCAUGAUGACGGCGGUGUGAACUAGCAAAACAAAAUGGUGGCUUGGCUUAGCCGCUUGAUCUGGCUUUUUCUAGCUCUACGACAGCAAUGGUGACUUAAACAAUUAAACAAGCCUCAAGUUGGUGGCUGUGGACACACCAAAUUGCAAUUGUUUAGCCACAUUCUCAGAAUAAAAUACUAGUACCAUUCCUUGAUAGAUAGGUGUACUACGUAUGUGCCACAGGGAAUGUGCCACUCUACAAUGGCGAAAACGAUCCCUUAAAUUUCUCUGAUGUUGAGCAGAAUCGAAUCCAUGUCACAAGGGUUCCUCAAGAACAGUAACCAGAUGCAUUAGCAGGCUGCAUCCCCAGUUCACUGGCUAUGUGCUGCUUUUCAACGAACGCCUUUCAGGCCAAUGCUCUAGCGAGCUCCAUCACAAAUACACUGGGUAUGUGCCGCACUUCAAUGAACCGCUCACUAACUUGGGUCACUAAGUAUGUUCCACCGAGUGUGCAGCAAGCGAGGGAACAAUUAUCAGGGCUCACAGGCACUGGUGCACCAUGCCUCUUGUCUUAUAGAGCUCGUGCGGACUUCUUGGCUGUGCCACUAGAUGGUGCAGCAUGUCCAGACAUAAGCAAGAGAGAAGAGCCGGUUGCUGCAUAACACGUUCCUCAGCGUUUGCAUGCACCAUGCAUUUCAAAGGCCACGUGCAGGUUUGGUGGCGGUGGCACUAGAUGGCACCGACUGUUCUUAGGAAAGUGCAAAAGAGGAGUCCUGCUGUAGUACAAGCCUCAUACAUAACUUGUUUCGAUGGUGGCAAUACAUUGUGUCGCUACAGUAAAAGCUCAUUAAUUUAAACUCCGCGGGGAUGCUACGAAAAUUCGAAUUAUAAAAAAUUCAAACUAAUGGAAGUCAGAGAAAAAAAAUUCGCUCGGUUAAGGCCUGUAUAUAGUUCCAAGUAGCAUGAGCGCACGCGCGCACACGCUAUGUCACGUUGGCAAGAACAACGUCUGUAGUUUGAAGCACUGGCACAGCCAACGUAACUGGACGCGGCCAACGCGGUCCUACGUGCCCGACAUUGAGAUGACUAUUGCUCCAUUUGCGCAUUUGUCGUGCCGACCCAUAAUACACUGCGUGAUGAAAAAAAAAGAAGGCGCCCACGUCGCUAGCCGACCGUCGCAGACACCCGUUGAAAGCGUUCGAAGCGACGCAUGGGUUGGGGAUCACACAUGAUCUAAAGAGAACAGCCGGCGGCGCGCGCGUCGAAGACUAGAGGGGGACGGCGUUUCGGCAAGCAUGACUGGCUGCAAGCGAAUAGCGCUGAAAACGUCUAACCAUAAAAAUGCCUUUGCGUCGCCAACGCUCUCCACAGGAACAAGAGCUGCGCUCUAAAAUGCAUCUGCGAAACGCACCACAACCUGCUGCGACACUGGUCUCCGAAUCUCAAAGGCUAUGCUGUUUAGUACUGCGAACUUUGAUAAACAUCACGGCCACCAUAUUUCAAACAUCACCUGGUGCUGCUUCUCUGCAGAACACCUCGUGGAGAAAGAGCAUAGCCUCCAAGAUGCAACAGAAAGAUGUAAAGAAAGAAAAAGAAUGAAAAAAAAAAAAAAAAAAAACACAGCGCCGCAUUUUUAUCUUGAAGGUCUUGAGAGAGGGACAGAACCGACCUGCUACGGAGGCGUUGCCAUGCGCGGCCUGCGCGGCAACGCCAGCGUCGCCAACGUGCUCCCGCACACUAGCACAUUCCCCAUCCACAAUGGCACGGAGUUAAAAUUAUCGGUGGCGGAGCGGAUUUCAGUGUGAGUUAGUGGGACGCAUUACAUAUUGCUUUCAAUACAUUGUUGGAUGGACCCCAGCGGCUACUUUGAAUUAUCCAAAAUUUUGAACUAACGAGUUGUGCGCGUCAUCAUAUUGUGUGCUAUUCAAAGAACUGCACAAUGUGUCUGCUUGCUGAUUAAAUCUAAAAUAUAAAUUAACUAUUAUCUGGCAAGUUUUAAAGUAUAAGCAUGUGGUGCCGGGCGUUCAUGCAGUGCUUUAACAGGGUGUCUACCGAGUUGACAUUUCCAAAUUCCCUGAGUUUUCCAGGUUUUCCCCGAGUGCCUUUGCAAAAUUCCUUGAGUGACGCAGAACUACGUUUUAUGUCAAGAUGGGCUGAAACCACGUCGCCCAAUGCUGUCAUUCUCUAGCAAGCAUAUGAAACAAAUAAAAAAGAAACGACUUAAUCCAGUUUGAAUACUAUGGAGUAGUCUUUAUGUUAUUCAAAAAGAGAAUAGAAAGGAGGGGUUAGUAAUAUGCACAGCAAAUAAAAUGUCUUCAAAAAAAAAUUGCAAAUCGAGUCGGACAUUCUCAAAUACGAAUAAAAAUGAGAUGCAUACAGAAGCAAAUAUUUUCUAAUAUGAGCUAUUUCUAUCAACUGAUAGCAAGCUCUGUGGUAUGAGGCCCGAACUUUGUCACAAUUGAGAUUCUCUCUCAAGAGCUCGUAAGUCAACCUCAGCUGCCCUGGCAUACUCUCAGCCCGCGCACGACGCCUCAGUGUUGUGUUUCACUGCUUUAAAGAGUUUAUUUUGGUUUGGAUGAUGGACACCUGCAUCCCGGCAUCAGCCAAAACUUUUUUUUGAGCUCAAGCUCCUUCAAAACGGCAGCAGCAUGCUUCCUUUCCUGUUCAUUUUUCAAUGCAUAGGUUCUUUCUGUUCUUGUCCUCCUUCCGCCACUCGUUCGGCCCGUGAACCAUUUGAAGCAUUUUCUUGGUAAGUUGCACAGUCCACGUCCGAUUUUUCGUACUCCUUAGGGGCCGCGAAAACGUCCGAAAAAUCGGCCAGUUGGAAAAAAUAAAUGCAUGUCAUUUACUUCCCCUAAGGGCUGAAACCGUCACAGGCACAUUUGAAAACGCUCUGAAGGCCUGUCAGUACACCUAUUAGGCAUAUCGGUGCUCGUAGUGUAACAGGAGAUCCCGGAUGCACGCGUGUAUAAUUAAGGAAUAGAUAUUGUGACCCACGACAAUACCCCUUCCGAUGCUUGUAAUGCUUCACCGCAAUACUUUUGCGCAUGCUUCACCACGUAACAUUCCUGUACUGAGGCGAAGCUGACUAUCAGAAACCGGCGUUAUCUAACGCAUUGUGCUUUUUUUAAGUAGUAAGUAAGUGUUUUUUAUUUACAGUAAGUAGUAUACAAAGCUCAGUGCAGGGGCAGGGGCUAAAGGCAAUCAAGCCUGACAAAGGUCCUUGUCCCUCCGCAGUUCGUGACAGCUCACACGCUUCGAGUUCAACAGUCAAAAAAAAAAAAAAGGAUUGCAGUAGAUCAGUUUCAGGAAAAUGGACAACUAGCUACUUGCAAGAGUACACAUAACAAAUCACAUAAACAAGAGAAAAAUUUACAUAACAUCUCUAAGUAAUCAUACAGAAGAGGUUGCGUGCACGCCAUAAUAUAUAGCUACACAAAAUAAAUUCAAGAAAUUUGAAACUAAGAAUGCAUGAGGAUACAAUGAAACUACAUUUUACAUGGAAACACUCAAAAUACUAAUUCUUGAAUGAUUUAAGCAUUGGUCGAGGCAUGAAAAUUCACAGGUUAAUGUUUAUACUGUAUACAUGUGGUAAUUAAUAAGUUCUUUGCUUGUUUUUUGAAUGCAGCACUACUACCCUUAAAGUUCAAUCUAUCUGCAAGGAUAUUCAAAACAUGAUGUGUCUGCGCCACCCCGCAGUCUCUGACAGCCGGUGACGCAAGUACAAUUCUGAACAAUCACAUGAAACCAAAUCGUCAAAAGCGCUCCAUACACUGGAUGCCACCAGUGGACUGGAAGGAAACGCUGGCAUGGCAGACCCCCCCACUGAGUUCCACAUCAGCUGCCUAGAGCUCCCUUGUCAAGUCUUUCAGCCAGAUCAUCUGACCAGAAGCCUGAUAACUGUGGCCUUAAAGCGCAGAUCAAGAAACACGGCCAGGCUGGCCAUUUUGCCAAAUUCGCACUCCGGUGAGUUAAUAAAUUUUGCGAGAUUGUCAGCAUACCCCGACUUGCCUUUGCGACCUUUGAGGCAAUGCAGCAUUCCUAAAAUAAUUAGAAUUUCAAAUGACAAUGAGAGGUUGUUUUUAGCACUAAGAUCACAACUGAGUGAAAUAAAGGCUUCAAUGCCU